CCCAGCAUUUAGAAGCGACCACAGAAUGUCUGUGUUCUGGUCCUCCAUAAUGUGGGGAGAGGAGCUGCUGAAAGCCACUUCCCGUGUUUGAAAGGUCCUGUCCUCUCCCUCUCAAAUGCUGCUUUCUCACA